rnacentral:rRNA from 1 species
GAUGAACGCUGGCGGCGUGCCUAAUACAUGCAAGUCGAGCGAACGGACGAGAAGCUUGCUUCUCUGAUGUUAGCGGCGGACGUGUGAGUAACACGUGGAUAACCUACCUAUAAGACUGGUAUAACUUCGGGAAACCGGAGCUAAUACCGGAUAAUAUUUUGAACCGCAUGGUUCAAAAGUGAAAGACGGUCUUGCUGUCACUUAUAGAUGGAUCCGCGCUGCAUUAGCUAGUUGGUAAGGUAACGGCUUACCAAGGCAACGAUGCAUAGCCGACCUGAGAGGGGGAUCGGCCACACUGGAACUGAGCCACGGUCCAGACUCCUACGGGAGGCAGCAGUAGGGAAUCUUCCGCAAUGGGCGAAAGCCUGACGGAGCAACGCAGCGUGAGUGAUGAAGGUCUUCGGAUCGUAAAACUCUGUUAUUAGGGAAGAACAUAUGGUAAGUAACUGUGCACAUCUUGACGGUACCUAAUCAGAAAGCCACGGCUAACUACGUG